rnacentral:rRNA from 1 species
ACGAACGCUAGCGGGGAGCUUCAAACAUGCAAGUCGUACGCGAAAGUGGCCUCGGCCAUGAGUAGAGUGGCGCACGGGUGCGUAACACGUAACUAACGCCCCUCAUCGCUGGGGAUAACUCCGGGAAACCGGAGCUAAUACCGAAUGAUCUGUCAGAGUCUGCGGACUCUGCCGGUAAAGCCGUAAGGCGCGGUGAGAUCGGGUUGCGGCCGAUUAGCUAGUUGGUGGGGUAAUGGCCUACCAAGGCAACGAUCGGUAGCUGGUCUGAGAGGAUGAUCAGCCACACUGGAACUGGGACACGGUCCAGACUCCCACGGGAGGCAGCAGUUGGGAAUAUUGGACAAUGGGGGAACCCCUGAUCCAGCUACCCCGCGUGAGUGAUGAAGGCCUUCGGGUUGUAAGCUCUUUAAGUUGGGAAGAAGGGAAACUUGACUGUACCAACAGAAUAAGCACCGGCUAACUCUGUGCCAGCAGCCGCGGUAAUACAGAGGGUGCAAGCGUUGUUCGGAAUCAUUGGGCGUAAAGCGCGUGUAGGCGGCUUUCUAAGUCUGGUGUGAAAGCCCGGGGCUCAACCCGGAAGUGCACUGGAUACUGGAGAGCUAGAGGGUAAGAGAGGAAAGUGGAAUUCAUGGUGUAGGGGUGAAAUCCGUAGAUAUCAUGAGGAACAUCAGAAGCGAAGGCGACUUUCUGGUUUACUACUGACGCUGAGACGCGAAAGCAUGGGGAGCAAACAGGAUUAGAUACCCUGGUAGUCCAUGCCCUAAACGAUGGAUACUAGUUGUCGGAUUCCUAAUUAUCUCGGUGACGCAGCUAACGCAGUAAGCAUCCCGCCUGGGAAGUACGGUCGCAAGAUUAAAACUCAAAGGAAUUGACGGGGGCCCGCACAAGCGGUGGAGCAUGUGGUUUAAUUCGAUGCUACGCGAAAAACCUUACCUGGGCUUGACAUCCUGUGCAACCCUAUGAAAGUAGGGGUUCUCUUCGGAGACGCAGAGACAGGUGCUGCAUGGCUGUCGUCAGCUCGUGUUGUGAGAUGUUGGGUUAAGUCCCGCAACGAGCGCAACCCUCGCCUUUAGUUGCCAGCAUUAAGUUGGGCACUCUAAAGGGACCGCUAGACUAUAAGUCAGAGGAAGGUGGGGAUGACGUCAAGUCCUCAUGGCCUUUAUGCUCAGGGCAACACACGUGCUACAAUGGGAAGUACAAAGCGCUGCUAACUUGUAAAAGCAUGCAAAUCGCAAAAAACUUCUCUCAGUUCGGAUUGAAGUCUGCAACUCGACUUCAUGAAGCUGGAAUCGCUAGUAAUCGCGGAUCAGAACGCCGCGGUGAAUACGUUCCCGGGCCUUGUACACACCGCCCGUCACACCAUGGGAGUUGGGUAUACUUGAAACGCCGAGCUAACCGUAAGGAGGCAAGCGUUUAUGGUAUGACCGAUGACUGGGGUG